rnacentral:lncRNA from 1 species
CUAGGAAGCAGAUGCUAGGAUGACCCCAUCAUGAAGAGGGAGACUGGGGAAGCCUUGAGAGACCUGAUGAUUUGUCCAGGGUCACAUGAGAGGACAGAAGGAGGAACUGGGUCUAGUCCCAGGUCUGUCUCCUCAGAGCAGGAACCCUGCUGCACCCGAGCCUGUCAAGAGAUGUGGGGGACAGUGUUGGGGUUCCUGUGGACACAUAUGGAAAUGGCAUGGGGCUGGAGGAGAGCCAACAGUAGCCCAGAGGCAGAUAUUAUUUUAUCUGGAGGAGGGGUCAGGUGAGGGACCGCCCCCUGACUUCCUGUCCUUCCUUCCAAACAGAACUUGGAACCCUGUAACCAGGCACCCACAUUCUAGCAACAGCCUCCUCCUUUGACCAAGAAUUAUGUUCUGCUUCUUACCUAGAGGCCAAGGCUCUAGGAGGUCCCACAGCCAGAGCUCCCUCUCUGGCUGAAUGGCCCCUUCUUCAGGCCCCAGCCCCAGGAUUCCCCACAGGCAGAACCUGUUACAAAGAAUGGAAUACUGGUUGAACUCCCACUCCUAUCACUGUUGCCCACGUGCCAAGAGACAAUCAAGGCCUAAACCUCACAGCCCAGGCCAACUGAACACAAGAGAAUCCGCCACUGUGAGUAAC